rnacentral:SRP_RNA from 1 species
UGUUGGUUCUCCGCAACGCUACUCUGUUUACGAGGUCAGGUCCGGAAGGAAGCAGCCAGAGCAGAGACGUGCUGGACGUAGCUGGCAGGG